rnacentral:sRNA from 1 species
ACAGUACAUGGCAAGUUUUCCGGCCUGUCGGCAUUGCUCGAAUCCUAUCUGGUUUCACGCCAGGAACCCCCGGUGUCAAAGUGGAAAGCAAGCUACGGGGGGAAGAUCGUGAUUGUUGCUCUCUCCCCCACCUUCUCACACACUCUCUUUUGACCGAUACCGGUAUUUUUAGAAAAAGUCAAUGGAACUCCCCCUACACUACCGUAAACAAUAUAACUAGGAACUUACUAAUUAACUCCGGGGGCAGUUGAACAACAUCGAUUUAUUUGAGUCUACAUGCCUUGUUCUCUGGAUGCACGUCUGCUCCGGAUCACAGUAAUAUGAGUGAUAUGCGUGGUCGACAAGUGUGAUGGUGACAGAGAGUCGAUAAUGAAUAAACUGCCAAUGUACUGUCCGUGGAGUAUAUACCAUAUACACCUCUAGAUGGAAUCAUGGAAGGGACUGCUGAAGCUGCAUCCGGCUCGCAGGUGUGCUCAUAUGCAUCCAAAAAAGCGAGAGAGAGAGAUGUAUAGACAUAUAGUUGGUUAGAUUAAAUUAGUUGAGGGAUCUAAAACUUGUUUUUCCCAGCAUCGCUUCUCCGAAUUAAUUUGUUGAUAACAAAAGAGCAAUGGCCAGAGUGACAGUGGCCAUUAUCGCAGGGCUACGCAGGAUACAGCAAUGAUCCCUUGCAAGUUGGCGGUGUCAACCAUAACAGGAAAAAGAAAAUACCAGCCUCUCACUCUCCAGUUCUUUUUCUUAUCACAUCGCUAACGUGCUAUUCCCAAUAGCUUAGCGGUAAACACAUACAUACAUACACACAUGCUGUGGACGUAUGGUGUGGAGGAGAUGAGUAAAUCAGUCAAUAAAUAAACAAAUAAAGAAAUACCC